rnacentral:rRNA from 1 species
UACGUAGGGUGCAAGCGUUAAUCGGAAUUACUGGGCGUAAAGCGUGCGCAGGCGGUUCGCUAAGACAGAUGUGAAAUCCCCGGGCUUAACCUGGGAACUGCAUUUGUGACUGGCGGGCUAGAGUAUGGCAGAGGGGGGUAGAAUUCCACGUGUAGCAGUGAAAUGCGUAGAGAUGUGGAGGAAUACCGAUGGCGAAGGCAGCCCCCUGGGCCAAUACUGACGCUCGUGCACGAAAGCGUGGGGAGCAAACAGG